rnacentral:misc_RNA from 1 species
CCGAGUUUACAACUCCCAAACCCCUGUGAACAUACCUAUACGUUGCCUCGGCGGAUCAGCCCGCGCCCCGUAAAAAGGGACGGCCCGCCCGAGGACCCCUGAACUCUGUUUUUAGUGGAACUUCUGAGUAAAACAAACAAAUAAAUCA